rnacentral:misc_RNA from 1 species
AAGAGAUGCACCAGAUCAGAACUUAUUUCUUUCCUGAUGCCCCUUAUUUAAUAUGAAAAACAAAAACCAUAAAAAGUAAGAGUGAACAUGAAUCAGCAACAUUCUCAGUUUAUAAACAAGGCUCCAGCUUGAAACAAAAAUAAUUAAGUAACAAUUCAGACAUCUGACAAAAAGCAAUAAUUAAAUCAAAAUUUGAAUAGACUCGUAAAAUUAUAAUUUUUUUUCUUUCCCCAUUGUAAUGGAAGUUGAGGAUUUGACCAAAAUUUUGUUAAAAGAAGAAAAAAG